rfam:Schistosoma curassoni strain Dakar, Senegal genome assembly, scaffold: SCTD_scaffold0000733
GUCCAUCUGACGAGUCCCAAAUAGUAUGAAACGCGCAUCCUGGAU